rnacentral:rRNA from 1 species
CUCCUACGGGAGGCAGCAGUAGGGAAUAUUGGACAAUGGGCGCAAGCCUGAUCCAGCCAUGCCGCGUGAGUGAAGAAGGCCCUCGGGUUGUAAAGCUCUUUUGUUGGGGAAGAAAAGCAGUUGGUUAAUACCCGAUUGUUCUGACGGUACCCAAAGAAUAAGCACCGGCUAACUUCGUGCCAGCAGCCGCGGUAAUACGAAGGGUGCAAGCGUUACUCGGAAUUACUGGGCGUAAAGCGUGCGUAGGUGGUUGUUUAAGUCUGAUGUGAAAGCCCUGGGCUCAACCUGGGAAUGGCAUUGGAUACUGGAUAGCUAGAGUGCGGUAGAGGGUAGUGGAAUUCCCGGUGUAGCAGUGAAAUGCGUAGAGAUCGGGAGGAACAUCCGUGGCGAAGGCGACUACCUGGGCCAGCACUGACACUGAGGCACGAAAGCGUGGGGAGCAAACAGGAUUAGAUACCCUGGUAGUCCACGCCCUAAACGAUGCGAACUGGAUGUUGGGCUCAACUUGGAGCUCAGUAUCGAAGCUAACGCGUUAAGU